CUAAGCCAUACUUAGCAGCCCUGCAAUUCUUUCCUUUUAAUGGCCUUUACCUGCCAAACAUAGCAAAGACAACAAAGAGAAAGUAACAGUACCAUCAACUGUAGGCAGUGUUACCUGGGGCCUGGAGCAUGAAGUAGCUGUGGAGAAUCCUACUGUUCCAUGGAAUCUGUAGGCAGAGAUUUUAAACGUGUUGAACAUGGAAAGCAGCAGAGCCAAUGAGAAGAUUGAUAUAAGAAAUUAUCACUGUGACAGAGAAGGUAAUCUUACUAUGAAAAAAAGCAAAACUUCAAAAAUAUAUUUAGAAGCUGUUUAGACUUCAUUUCCAACAGGUCUGUGCCUUCUGGAGUUUUCCCACUAAAACAAAGUUCAUUAAAAUAUUCUAUCAAAUGGGAAACAUCCCUGGUCUCAAAAUUCAUUUCUUUGGAGACUCUAAAAACACCUACAUAGUGGAAAGAACAGGACGCAUCACUGGCGGUCCAUGACAAAAACACAGGCAGACAGAGUAGUUGAUGUGUCCUUUUCCAGAGCAGAUGUUUUCCAGAUAUGCUACUGUCACUCAUUAAGAUAAGUGAUGCUAAAGGAUUCAGUCUGUAUCAUGGCUGAAUCUAGCACAGAACAUUAAAACUGCAAGUGCGUAACAACUUCUCAUGGAUAAAGACACAUGGAGUUAUGUCCUGCACCCAGGUUGAAUGUAUUUACUUUCAUCAGACCUGGAGAGUUGGAACUUGGGCCAAUUUCAAGGAGUGACUUAAGCCAUUCUGCAGUGCAGGGCUGUGACUCAGAAGCUGAAUUGCCAGCAUUCCCCUGUAAAGUUGGGAGAGGCAGCUAAAGAAUAUCUCCUUCCCUCCUUCUUCCCUCCCUUUAUUCCUGUAGAAGAUAACCAGUGUCUCAGGAGGCUGCCUGACUUGGCUUCUCUGUCUUGAUAUUUUCCUCUUGCCAGAGCUGGUGAGUCUUUUUCUAAAAUGGCUGUUACCCUGUUGAAGGGAAGGGUGAUCCUUUGUCAGGCUCUUUCUAGGUAAGAUCACAUUCAGUCAGAGUUUAGUGCAUGAAAUAUGGGAUGCUAUCCAUCUCUCCUGAAAGUUAGGUGUCUCUAGUGUAGUCAUCUCUACAGUCACCCACUAUAUCUAUGUAUUCCUUACCAGUUCUUUGUAGAGUCAAUGAAGAGAAGUACAGGCCUCGAAGUGUCGGUUAGCUUGCCUAUUUCAAUUGUUUGUUUUAGGAGGAAAGAAGUAAUCUAAAUGCAAGGCAAGGUUUAUUAUGCCCUGGAAAAAGUUGAAAACAAUAUAACCUGUCUUCUAACUCAGUGUUUCUCCUUAAAUGACUUCUGUUCUUCAGAAGUCUUGAAUUUGUUCCUCCUUCCAAUGAUUUUUACUCUUCUACUUCCUGAACUUCUGCCUGCAUUUGAUACUACCAGCCCUCCUAAAAAAAUCUGCUUGAGCUCUCCUACUUUACAGCAAUUUCUCCCAACUGCUCACCUAUUCACUAUUUCUGUCUCCUUCUUUCCCCAUGUCCCAGACAUCUGUUUCUUCACCAAGUCUUACAGCUGCAUUUGAACACACUUUCAGAUGGGCUUGGUGCUCCUGCAGUGUCAACAGUUAAAAAAACCCAAAAUCUCCUCAUCUCCAAAUGUUAGAUUGGAUUCCUUAUAGUGAAUGAAGUACCCCAGCGACUUUGAUUAGUUUCUGGAAUUCCUCCUCCAUUGAAGCCUGGGUUGCUUGAUUCAGGUCUGAGGCACACUUCAUUGUUCUUUUUCAAGGUAAAAUGAAUGUUCUAGACAUGAUCAUGGACUGUUUGCACAUUAGCUAAAACACCUCUGCUAAUCCAAUCAAAUCUGGCUUUCCCAGUUUUGUCUCGCUCUUGCUGAAUACCUGUUCUUUGACAAACAGAAAGAAAAAAUGAUCAAAAUAUUCAAGAACCAUUUAUUAACCGUUACUAAUAAAUAUAUUUGUGUUCACCUGCUAGCUAUGUCUUUAAGCUAAUUAGGCAACUUGGGCUUCAUUUUAUACUUAGUGUAUUGCUCACUUCAUGAGAGGCAACAGGUCCUGCCGCAGAGUCUCAGGGCAGCAGAGGCUUACCCUCCCUAAAUCCUGACAGGGAAUGAAAUAUAUUAGUGCCCUUUUGGGGGGGUUUUGAGGGGUUUUUUGGUGGGUUUUGGUUUUUUUUUUCCCCAUCAGAAGAAAUUAUUAGCCCUUGUUAUCCUGAAUCAAAGAUUUGGGCAGUCUUUACCUUGCUGUGCAUUAAUAAAAUGCAAAAUUUUGUACGUGAUAA